AGCUCACAGCAAAACUGGAUUCUUAUCCCACUGACCCAGGUCAGAGAUCAAAUCCAUGUCCUCAUGGAUACUAAUCAGGUUUAUUACUGUGGAGCCACAACAGGAACUCCAAGAAUAAAUUUUUAUUGUUUUAAAUUACCUUGUUUGUGGCACUUUUGUACAGUGGUAUUGGGAAAAUAAUACACUAAAUAAAACUUAUUUAAGAUAGUAUACUUUUUUCCUUAUUCUUAAUGAAGGAAAAAAAACUGAAAAGUGAAAUUUUUAAUGAUUCUUGUGUUUCCUUUUAUUUCUCUCUAAUAAAUUAAACCCAACAGACUACAUGUUACAAUGAGAAAAAUGUGUUUGAUUCUAUUUAAUAAUUUAUUUUAUUAAAUAUAUUUAAAGAGUAAUUUGUGUGUAUUCAGAUAGGCCUUGUUUCCAUUUUCUAAGUCUAGCUGUCUCUUAGGAAUUUGGAAAUUAUCAGAAAAUCAAUUAAAGCUUAGGUCUAUAAAUUUGGAAUGAUAAUCCAUGGAAGAAUGGGAUUUAAAACAAAAUAUCCAACACUGCAAAUCUAACACUUUAUGUUAAAGACAGUUAAGUAAUUCAGUUGAGGCGGUUGGCUUCUAUCCUGCGUAGCUGCUAAUAGGGGAGUCAAGGGACUGUAGAAUCUGUCUUAUCUGAAUUGGAAUCUGUGCACCCCAAUUUUAGCUAUGAGAACUUGGACAAGUCAAUUAACCUCUCUAUGCUUCAAUUCCUGUUUUCAUAAUGAUGGAAAUGAUCACUGUCUCAUUGGGCGAUGGUAAGUAUUAAAUGAAUAAGUACAUGUAAAGUGCUUAAGAAUUGUGUCCAGCAUGGAUUAAGUUUGAAGAGAUGUUGCUAUUAUUAGGAUGACUAUGUAACUUAUCUUGCACAUCUGGAGAAUUAUGGGUGUGGGAGGGGCUCUACUAUAAUUGACCUGGAUUAUGUAAUCUAAGUGUCUGGGAUAACCUGAAGUGUACGGUAAGGGAAGGUUUAAAAGCUCUGUGGACUGAAAAAGUUCAUCACAAAGGCCCUAAUAUAAACUUGAAUAAACUUCAAGUUAACUUCCUUAGAAAGUUUUUAUGGAUUUCUAAGUCCUCUAUCUUUUCUCAGUAGUUCUGAAAUCUAAACAACUUUGAACCCCCAAAGUUGUACAAGAUGUGUUUAUUACUUUGCAUUGUUUUUCAUAAAACUGUGAAACUGAAUUUAGCUGGGACAACAUUUUGUCUUUAUACAGUAAGAAUAUCAUUAUAUUCCAUGGCUGGAAAUAUUAACAUUGAAAUGGGACAGUUAAGCCUAACUGAAUGCACCAUAAUUCCUAUCUAAAAUAAGAAAUACUCGGAGUUCCCGUCAUGGCGCAGUGGUUAACAAAUCCGACUAGGAACCAUGAGGUUGUGGGUUCGGUCCCUGCUCUUGCUCAGUGGGUUAACGAUCCGGCAUUGCUGUGAGCUGUUGUGUAGGUGGCAGACACGGCUCGGAUCCUGCGUUGCUGUGGCUCUGGCAUAAGCCAGUGGGUACAGCUCCGAUUGGACCCCUAGCCUGGGAAACUCCAUAUGCCCCGGGAGCGGCCCAAAGAAAUAGCAAAAAGACCAAAAAAAAAAAAAAAAAAAAAAAAAAAAAACUCGAAAUCCAAAACACAUCUUGUUGUAAAAUUUUGUUAAGAAAAGGUGGAUUUGUAUUUGUGUCUGUUUAAUUCAGCAAAUUAUUUUAAAAAUUUAUUUUCUACGAAUUGGCCAAUUUAUUAGGUGUUAUAAUAUUCAAUUAAAAACAACCUUGAUAUAGUUCAUGAGUGUCAGAAAACAAAACAUUUACAUUUCUGGAGGAGAUAGGCACAUAAGCUUUUAUUCGUGGUACAAAGCACAUUUCUAAUUGUUCAAUGGAAAUACAAACCCUGAGGUUUGGAUAUGAAAACUUAUAGAAGGGGGCUGCAAAAAAGAGGAGCCAACUGACCCAAACUUUAAAAGAUGAUUAGGAUUUUAUUAAGCAAAAAUGUAGGGGAGGGUCCUUUUGAUUUCAGGAACCAAAACACAUUUGAUAUGUUCAAGGCACAGCAAGUAGUAUGAACGAAGUAAAAGAUGACGAUGAGAGAUAGUAAAAUCUACUAGAAAGAAUAAUUUCUGAUACCUGAGAAGAAAAAUAAUAUUAUUUUAACUCUUUUAGAAGAUAGUUUUUUUCCCCCUGUUAUUGAAAGAAGGAAAAAUACAUUUUAGGGUAGAUAUUUUGCAUGAAAUAUUUCUUUUCAAAUGAGCUAGACUGUUUUGAAUAAAGGAAUGUAGCAUUUCUGAUUUGGCCUUUUGAGACUGCAGAGAGAAACAACAAACAUAGAAACUUUAACCCCUGUGGGGUAUAUCAUUUUAUGGGAGAUAUGAGACACUGAAUUUAGAGCUUUAUUCCUCAAGAUGGAAAGACUGUACAGUAACCAACCCAUCUGCUACCAUGGCCAGUGUAACCAAGUCUUUGGGGACCAGGAGGUAGCUUUCUGUUUCUGAAAACAUUAGCUUAUUCCUGCUCCUACCUAGUAAACACAGUACAUUACAUAGAGUGUGAUUUUUCUAUUUUACCAAGGACCUGAGCCACUUCAGCAGCCUACACCUUCAUCCUCAUGAGAAGCCCAGGUAUCCUUCUCAUCACAGGUCCCACAUCUCAUGAAUCAUAAUAUGAAUGAAUGAGAGAAAGGGAGUUUAGUGGUAAUGAAUCCGACUAGUAUCCAUGAGGACAUGGGUUUGACUCCUGGCCUGGCUCAGUGGGUUAAGGAUCCAGUGUUGCCGUGAGCUGUGGUGUAGGUUGCAGAUGCGACUCAGUCUUGCAUUGCUGUGGUGGCUGUGACUGGCAGUUGCAGCUCCAAAUGUAUCCCUAGCCUGGGAACUUCUCUGUGUUGCUAGAGCAGCCCUUAAAAAAAAAAAAAAAAAUCGCUGGGAACCAAAAUAAACCAGCAUUAAUAAAAGUGAUAGUUAUGGGUAUGACCUUUGAAUAUUCAGUAUAAAAAUCAAGAGGUCUCCAAGAACCCCAAAGAUGUGGGUUAUGUAGCUUCAAAAGGGAUUGCCACGGAGAAUUAGCAAAUCCAGACAAACUUUUCUUUCUCUUGCUCAUCUCUUAGUUGUCUAUCUAAUUCUUUCUUUUGUUGAGGCAGACUGGCUGUCUCUGCUUCUUGCUUCUCAGUCUUCAUUGUAGAAGAUAACAAUUCCACAGUGUCCAAAUUGCAUAUGUUUCUUACCACCAGUCACACAUAGAACUAACUUAUUUUCUCUGCAUUCCAUUUCCAAAACCCAGAGAGCUCAUCUGAUUAGUCCAGCCAGGUUAGCCCUGCUCAUAAUCCCUGAUAUGGUCAGUUUUUGCCUGGUUCAUAAAGAGCAGGGUGGUAUCACAGAAAUCUAGCUGCUGGUUCACACAUUUGCAGGAGAAGCAGAGAGAAUAAAGUAUUUGCAAUAGCUGGAGAUGUGGAGAGACAUCUUGAAAAGUAUCUACUCAAACUAUUUCAUUAAAUUUCUUUGGUUCUUUGGAUAAUAUUGGGGAAAUAAUGUUAAAAAGACAGUUUAUCAUUUGCCAAAUCCUCGCUGUGUACAUAAAACAAUGUAUUUUUGAGUCUGGUAUAUAUUUUUUCUUUUUAGGGCUGCACCUGAAGCAUAUGGAAGUUCCCAGGCUAGGGGUUGAAUCCGAGCUGCAGUUGCUGGCCUGUGCCACAGCCACAUAAAUGACAGAUCUGAGCUACAUCUGCGACCUACGCUGCAGCUCAUGGCAAUGCCUGAUCCUUAACCCACUGGGCGAGGUCAGGGAUCAAACCCACAUCCUCAUGGAUACUAGCUGAGUCUGUUACUGCUGAGCCACAACGGGAACUCCAAGGCUGGUAUUUUUGACCAAGUUCCUUAGUCCUUCCUAGUCUCAGUUUCAUCAUCUGUAAAAUGAAGAUGAUCACACCAACCACACAAGAUUGUAACAUGCAUAAACUAAAAUAUCCAACUUAAUACUGGCAAGAAGUAGGUUGUCAAUAAAUAGUGAUUAAUAAAAGGACUGUUUAUUUGGCAUGUGUUCCAAAAUUACAAGUUAUUGCAUCAAAACUAUUUUUAGUAUGGGCCUCACACUGAUACUCCCAUAGCCAACCUGUUGGGGCCACAUACUCUAAUAAGAUGUUGUGAUGGGGUCAAGUUCAUUCCAUUGCUCAUUUACCUCUCCACAGAGCCUCUCCACACAAAAAAAGGAAAACUUUAAUACAAUGCAAUAUGAGAGUCACCUUGGCAGGUAAACAUGUUUUCUGGUUAAAUAUUGUAAGAAAAGUUAAAAGCGGAUUGUCAAAAUUCAGCUAGAAAUAAGAUCUCCAAUUCAAAAUAUUGACUCAUUGACAUUACCACUGAGAGAAGAAGGUAUGAAACUUCCAAAGAGAAACUCAACCCAGGGCAAGAAGGAGAUGAUAUGGAGUAAGCUUUUUUUUUAAGCAUCUUUUACACUCAAAUAAGAUCUGAGCUGUCAUAAAAGAAUAGAAAGAAAGAAGAUAGUAGCUAAAGAGGAAGACAAGAAGAAGAGUAAAUGAUAAUGUACAGGCAUAACCAGUAGUUUCUAUUUGCUUUGUGCUCCAGGACACAGCCAGGACAAGUCAUCAGAUCUCAGAGUGAAUUUUUCUAGUUACUGUGAAUGAUGCAUUUGGUAGGCUGUCGUGACGGAUUGUUGAUAUUAGUGGUCCUGAGUGUGAUUAAUAAGGCUUCUCUGUCUCUGACAGAGUGGGAAUGGCACCACUAAAAUUGAACGGAGAUGAUCCUACUAAAAAUCUGUUAGGGAUGCUCCUUGGGGGAAAAAAAACUGGUACAAAGGAAGUACCAGGAGUAGAAGCAUCAGUUCACCAGCUGUAGCCACAUCAAUCACAGCAAGAUAGCAAGGUCCCAUUAAACUGAAGAACACUGUGCUUCUCACUUGGUCCUCUUAACAAAGAACAUGUCCAAAUUCUUUCCAUCCUUCCACAGGAGCAUAUGUUUAUUAGGAAGCAUUGUGUUUGUACCAGUGUAUAUAUUUGUGUGAAAUGUUACCUAUGUGGAUGAAAUGAAAAAAUCAAAAUGAUAUUACAUUUGAAAUUGAGGACAUUUUUGUUUUAAAAUUUGUCAACUGUCAGGUAGGAAAAAGAGAGAGAAAGAGAGGGUCAAUCUUUGGUCUAUGAACAGAUGUGUUUAACAUUUAGGUACUAGAGCCAGGGUUUUAUAUGACAUAAAAUGAAAAUAUAUUCUCUUAUGACAGUAUAUCUUUCAUCACCAUUAAAAUACAAUAAAACUGUACGAUGGAAAAGAGGAAAUAUUUGAAAAGUUGGGUGAGGCUGGGUCAUAUAUUGAGUUAGUAUCUGAGAGUUAUGUUUCUAGUUAAGAGCAUAAGUUUUACUUGAUGGGAGUAAUACAUACAUUUGUCCAUCUCUCCUAGCUUCAGAAAUUGGAAUGUGUGCUUCUAAAAUCAAAGACAACUGUUCUUAUUGAUAGCCUGUUCAGAAGGACUGACAGCACAGAGCUUUCUACUUUUCUGGUAGGUAGUGUAGUGGGGGCUUACAUGGUACUAUUACUGAUCAAUUGCCUUGUAUAAUCAAUGUGGACUUUUGACAAAUGUCAAUACUAUAUUAACACAAUUGCCUCUCAAGAGUGGUGUAGUGUUGUAGAGAAAAACCUUUAGUGAUAACAUUAACAUUCCUAGUGAGAGAUGCUAGAUGAGCUUCUAUUUGUUCUAGGUAAAAUAAACACAAUUCUAUUGGUUCAGACCAUUCAUUCUAAGCAGACACUCUGGAAUCUUUUCCUUUUAUGUUUUUAUUAUUUUAUUAUGUUUACUUAAUUUUUUCUUUAUUUAGUUGCAAUUAGGAUAAUUUAGCAAUGGAAAUAAUCUAUACCUUCAUGAUACAUUACAAUGUACUAAGUACUUUGCAUACAUCAUUUCAUCUGGGCGUCACAACUUUUUGAUAUAUGGGCUCUUAUAAUAUUUUUUCCUCUUUCUUUUUUUCCCCAUAAGUUACUGAAGUAUGGGAGAAGGGAUGGAGAAAAGAUUCUUACGCCCAGGAGAUGGAGAUGGUCUAAGAUUUGGAAGUCACUCAAGGGAAAAGUAACUUAUGGUGCAAGUAAGCUGUUAAUUCUGUUUUCACCUUUCAACUGGUUAUUUCAGCCUCAUGUAGAUGGAAUUAAUAUUUAUCUUAAAUGAUAGGGAUGUGAUGAUCACUCAUGGUACAUAGGGUAAUAUCCAUUUUCUUGCAGAUCUGGAGUGUGUUUAAUAAAAUUUUUAUACUUAUUGUUCAUAUGUUUGUACAUAUCUUCCAUAAACACAACUAUAGCACAUUCUUGUCAGAUACAGCUCCUCCUAACUGUUAGAACAGAUCAAAUCCACAGGAGAAUAACCUGCAGCAGGUGGAUUUUAUUAAAAACAGUUUCUAAAGAUACAAACAGAUUCUGCCAAAAAGCUGUCCCUGUAUCAAACUCAGGGAUAAACUCAAUUCUUAUAAACAUAUUCAUGUGCUUUAAGUCCCAAAUAGUUAAUGUAUAUAUAAUGUUUCAGGUGACAGAAAUAAAAAGAUUUACUUAAAAAUGUUUAAGUAAAUACAGAUAUAUC
rnacentral:lncRNA from 1 species